rnacentral:rRNA from 1 species
CCCUGCCAUUUGUACACACCGCCCGUCGCUCCUACCGAUUGGGUGUGCUGGUGAAAUGUUCGGAUUGGCGGCUUUGGGCGGUUUCCGCCCUCGGCUGUCGAAAAGUUCAUUAAACCCUCCCACCUAGA